rnacentral:lncRNA from 1 species
ACAAAACCUAACAUUAAACAAGAGUGCACACGCUGAAAUGUCUCACCUUCUAUACUAAUCAUUGAUAUUAUGUUGAUAGUCCUAAGUAUAAAGCUAAGCUUUAUUACAACUGUCACAUAAACUUAACAUUAACCAAGAUAACUAAACAAAGACCAAUGAACCUUGAAAAUGAGGUCAAGGUCAGAUGAACCAUGCCAGGCAGACAUGUACAGCUAACAAUGCUUCUA